GACGAACGCUGGCGGCGUGCUUAACACAUGCAAGUCGAACGGAAAGGCCCUGCUUUUGUGGGGUGCUCGAGUGGCGAACGGGUGAGUAACACGUGAGUAACCUGCCCUUGACUUUGGGAUAACUUCAGGAAACUGGUGCUAAUACCGGAUAGGAGCUCCUGCUGCAUGGUGGGGGUUGGAAAGUUUCGGCGGUUGGGGAUGGACUCGGGGCUUAUCAGCUUGUUGGUGGGGUAGUGGCUUACCAAGGCUUUGACGGGUAGCCGGCCUGAGAGGGUGACCGGGCACAUUGGGACUGAGAUACGGCCCAGACUCGUACGGGAGGCAGCAGUGGGGAAUAUUGCACAAUGGGCGGAAGCCUGAUGCAGCAACGCCGCGUGCGGGAUGACGGCCUUCGGGUUGUAAACCGCUUUCGCCUGUGACGAAGCGUGAGUGACGGUAAUGGGUGAAGAAGCACCGGCUAACUACGUG
rnacentral:rRNA from 1 species